rnacentral:rRNA from 1 species
AUUGAACGCUGGCGGCAUGCUUUACACAUGCAAGUCGAACGGUAACAGGCCGCAAGGUGCUGACGAGUGGCGAACGGGUGAGUAAUGCAUCGGAACGUGCCCAGUCGUGGGGGAUAACGCAGCGAAAGCUGUGCUAAUACCGCAUACGAUCUAUGGAUGAAAGCGGGGGACCGUAAGGCCUCGCGCGAUUGUAGCGGCCGAUGUCAGAUUAGGUAGUUGGUGGGGUAAAGGCCUACCAAGCCGACGAUCUGUAGCUGGUCUGAGAGGACGACAAGCCACACUGGGACUGAGACACGGCCCAGACUCCUACGGGAGGCAGCAGUGGGGAAUUUUGGACAAUGGGCGCAAGCCUGAUCCAGCAAUGCCGCGUGCAGGAAGAAGGCCUUCGGGUUGUAAACUGCUUUUGUACGGAACGAAACGGUCUGGGUUAAUACCCUGGGCUAAUGACGGUACCGUAAGAAUAAGCACCGGCUAACUACGUGCCAGCAGCCGCCGUAAAAC